UACGAAGGGUGCAAGCGUUAAUCGGAAUUACUGGGCGUAAAGGGUGCGUAGGCGGUUCGUUAAGUCUGUCGUGAAAUCCCCGGGCUCAACCUGGGAAUGGCGAUGGAUACUGGCGAGCUAGAGUGUGUCAGAGGAUGGUGGAAUUCCCGGUGUAGCGGUGAAAUGCGUAGAGAUCGGGAGGAACAUCAGUGGCGAAGGUGGCCAUCUGGGACAACACUGACGCUGAAGCACGAAAGCGUGGGGAGCAAACAGG
rnacentral:rRNA from 1 species